rnacentral:rRNA from 1 species
GAUGAACGCUGGCGGCGUGCCUAACACAUGCAAGUCGAGCGGAAAGACGAUGAGCUUGUGCUCUUACCGUUAGCGGGGGGCGGGCGAGUAACGCGUGGAUCACCAACUUCUAUUUCGGGGAAAAUAACGUAAAUAGGGUUAAAAUAAGAGAUCAUAUCUCGUACCGUAGGGAGCAUUGGAGAUUCACGGCUUUCGCGUAUGUAUUAGCCGAUGUCGGAUUAGAUAGUUGGGGUGGUAAGGGCCUAGCAAGGCGACGAUCCGUAGCUUGUCUGAGAGGAUGAUCGGCCACACUGGAACUGAGACACGGUCCAGACUCCUACGGGAGGCAGCAGUGUGGAAUAUUGGGCAAUGGGCGAAAGCCUGACCCAGCCAUACCGCGUGGGUGAAGAAGGCCUUCGGUUCGUAAAGCCCUGUUAUUGGGAAAGAACAGCAGUAGGUUUAAACCUCGCCGUCUUGACGGUACCGAAUGAAGAAGCAACGGCUAACUACGUG